AGCCGACUGUUCUUGUGGCUGCAAAGCUGAAAUUGAAAGGCUAUCAGCUAAAUGCAAAACAUUUGAACAAGAGUUUACCGCCACCUGGUAUUGGAUAAACCUUAUGUACAAUCAGAUACAGCAAAAGCAGCUGCCCAACACUCCCAGCCAUAUGCAGCUUCUUCAAGGGUCUUCAGGGCAUGGGCAGCUACAGAUGCCAACAAUGGAAGAAGCUCCACAGCCAUUGACCCUCAUGACAACACCAGUUAAAACUCCUCAUGUCUUGUCAUCAGAAAUCAAAAAGACAACAGUACCUACAUAUGGUGGAUUU